rnacentral:rRNA from 1 species
UACCAGCUCUCCGAGUGGUGUGGAUGUUUAUUGGGCCUAAAGCAUCCGUAGCUGGCUGGACAAGUCCCCUGUUAAAUCCACCGAUUUAAUCGUUGGUGGGCGGGGGAUACUGUUCGGCUAGGGGACGGGAGAGGCCGACGGUAUUUCCGGGGUAGGGGUGAAAUCCUAUAAUCCCGGGAAGACCACCAGUGGCGAAGGCUGUCGGCUAGAACGCGCCCGACGGUGAGGGAUGAAAGCUGGGGGAGCGAACCGGAUUAGAUACCCGGGUAGUCCCAGCUGUAAACGAUGCAGGCUAGGUGUUUGGGCGGCCACGUGCCGCUCUAGUGCCGCAAGGAAGCUGUUAAGCCUGCCGCCUGGGGAGUACGGCCGCAAGGCUGAAACUUAAAGGAAUUGGCGGGGAGCACCACAAGGGGUGAAGCUUGCGGUUU